ACGUUCCCCAAUUUUGGAAUGAUUUUUCAGGGAAGAAAUCUUGUUUGCUCCACCUCCAGUAUGUUUUUUGUGGAACCUCAUCCCUCGAUUCACUCACCGAACCCAUAUCCCAAUUUUGUACUUUGUCCCCACUUGACUUGUUAUGGUAAAGAAGAUAAGUGAUGGAUUUUAAGAAGUGAAUGCAAUGCUCUGUUCUCUAUAAAUUAGGGCCUCUACCCCGCCUAGUUGAUUUAAAUGCAAUGAAAUGAUGAUAUCUUUGAGAGAUAUGGAAGAGAUUUUUUGCUAUAAAUUAUUGGUUGGUUUUACAUUUGAAAUUCAUCCGGC